rnacentral:rRNA from 1 species
UACAGAGGGUGCGAGCGUUGUUCGGAAUUAUUGGGCGUAAAGGGCGCGUAGGCGGCGCGGUAUGUCACCUGUGAAAUCUCCUGGCUCAACUGGGAGCUUGCAGGCGAACUGCCGUGCUGGAGUGUGGGAGAGGGUACGUGGAAUUCCUGGUGUAGCGGUGAAAUGACGUAGAGAUCGGAGGAACACCCGUGGCGAAGGCGCCAUCUGGACCAGCACUGACGCUGAGGGCACGAAAGCGUGGGGAGCAACAGGAUUAAGAU